GCCAGGUGGGGUGGUGCACACCUGUAAUCCCAGUAACUUGGAGGCUGAGGAGAAUCACACAAGUUGGAAGUCAGACUCAGCAACUUAGUGACAUCCUGU
rnacentral:sRNA from 1 species